GGUCUGGUGGUGUAGUUGGUUAUCACGUCAGUCUAACAUGUCGAGGCUCUCGCCGGCCUCCGCCUUGGUUACACUGAAGGUCUCCGGUUCAAGUCCGGGCUAGAUCA
rnacentral:tRNA from 1 species